GUGAAGAAAUGAGAAGUCCUGUUUAAUUUGGCUGCCAUUUUCUGAGUUCUAAAGCGGUCUUAUUUUCAAAAUAUGAAUUUUUUUCCUUGUAUGAAUUUAAUUGCAGCCUACAUGGAACGUUGAACAAUACCUGCGUAGCCACUUCAUCUUUUUCUAGGUUCCUUAUAGCCUCUUCAAAGAUCAUCAAACAGUUUCAAAGGAACAGCAUCUACAUUUCUGCUUUACUGUAGUCUUUUUUCCAUUCACACCUUCGAAUUUGCAAAUUAGAAGGCAUUCUUCUUGUGCCACGCUUUGAAAAUAUGAUUUUAUGGCAAGCUAAUAUUUUAAUAUGGCUGGCAACAAUGAUAUCCAUCUUGUAGGCACAUGUCUAAGGGGCAAUCUUCCAUUUCUAUAAAGUCAAUAAUCUCAUUAAGUGCUUUUAUACAUUUACAUGUUUUACACAUUUUGAAAAGUGACCUAUGUUUUCAUUAUGAAAGCCUCAAUAUUAUAGGUAAGUAAAUCACAUUCCUUUUUUUUUAAUUAGUGUUAUGUACAAGAUGUGUAGAACAUUUAGCAGGUAAGAUCUCAUGUGCUUUGAUAAGAAGUUUAUAGAUCAAGGGAUGCCUGGGUGGCUCAGUUGGUUGAGCAUCCAACUUAGGCUCAGAUUGUGAUCUCCUGGUUCUUGAGUUCGAGCCUUGCAUCAGGUUUGCUGCUGUCAGUGCAGAGCCUGCUUUGGAUCCUCUGUCCCCACCUCUCUCUGCCCCUCCCCUCAUGCUCUCUCAAAAUAAGUAAACAUUAAAAAAAAAAGAAGUUUAUAGAUCGAGUAGAAUUUUCCAAAAUUUAUAUUUGUACAGUAUAUCUGCUGAAUCUGCAGCUAGAUGAGCAAAAUCUAGUUCUAUUUGAACAAGAUAACAGCAACCUUUUGUAUGUUCUGUAAUUUCGUUAAAAUCUUGAUAGGAAUCAAGAACAUAAUUUAAAACUCCAUUGUUCAAAUCAAAAUACCUAGGGGUCAGGGGGAACAUCUUUUGUUUCUUGCCAUGAUUCAAUUUAUCACUUACACUAUAGAAAGUAUGAUCAUUGGUAAGAUCUGACAGAAUCUGAUUGCUGGUUGCCAGAGAGUGGUUGGGGGUGGGUGCGUGGGUGGGUGAAAUGCGUGAAGAGUCAAACGUCACAAACGUCCAGUUACAAAAUAAAUGUCAUGGGAUGUAAUGUACAGCAUGGUGACUGUACUUAAUAACACUUUUUUGCAUAUUUGAAAGUUGCUAAGAGAGUAAAUCUUAAGAGUCCUCAUCACAAGCAAAAAACAUUUUUUAAAUUAUGUAUGGUAUGGUGGUGGCGGUCAUUUCUUAAUCAGUGAUUGAAUGACCACUAGUUUCAGUUAAGUAUUAGUAUAUUUUGGGGAGAUGAAGAAACUAUUGAUUGAUUUCAAAGUGCUUGCCUGUUUCAUCCCUAACUUGGGAAAGUUUUCAUAUCUUCCCUUCUCCACCAUGUGCGACCCCAAAUCCUUUUUUGCAUAUCACACCAAUAUUAUACCAGCCGUAUUCUCUGUUUUGGUUUGGCCAUGUAUUCAGUAUUUAAAAAAGUGCUUCUAGCAGUAUGAAAGACCAAACCCUGAGCUGUAUCUCAUAUUGGGACACUUGGAAUCAACAUUUAAUCUUCAACUACUUAAUGGAGUUUAUUCUAAUUUCUAGACAACUGUUCAAUUUUCCUACAUGCUGCCUGAGUAGGAAACUGUAUGAAAUAAAAGGGAGGCCCUGACAGGAAAUUGCAGUGAGUCCUGGAUUCACUUAGUACUGCACAAUGGAAAUAAAUAAAAGCCACCUCCUCCCUUCUGUUGGUCCAUUUCCCCUUUUGGAUGAGCAAAUGGGAAUCAUCUUUAGGGCAUUAUGUAUUCACUGAGGGGCUGUGACCUUAAUCCAUAAAGCCCUAUAGAGUUUAUGCUUUGAUUUUCUUAAAGCCCGCCUCCCCUAUACAGUGUCGCAGACAAUCAAAACUGCCCUGCAAUGUGCUUGCUAAUAGUUCACAAUUUCAGUGGACCUAAGACUGAGCCAUCUGGUAAAUAGGGCUUGUCAUAGAGAUUCCCCUUAAGGUGAUCUGACCACACCACAGUUUGCCUGGGAAUCUCCCAUCUUGCAAUAAAACUGAGACAGUUUUUAGAAUUCUCCUUGGAUUACAGGAGAAUAGAGUAAGUAACAAAAAUAUGAUUGUUGAUCCACUGCAGUAAAGUCUUCACAAAGAAGUUACACUUUUCUAAAUAGUGGUAUUUAGCGGCUUCUUGCUGUUAAAAGGGCACAAAUACAGUUUAAAUUCAACUAGAGGUAUAAGGAAACAAACAAAUGUUUUCGGAGAACCUACCAUGUGUUAGGAAAUUAAUGUUUUCUCAUUUGACCUUCACAACUCUAUGAUGUAGAUAUCAUUAUUCCUAUUCUACAAGUGAAGAAACUGGCUUAGUGGUGUUAAGUGACCUUUGCAAAGGCCCAUGGAUAGUAAGGCAUAGACUUGGGAUUCAAAUUCAAGUGCACAGGCUCCAGACUCUAUGUCUUUACACCCUCUUACCCAAAUAAUGAUCUCUUUCUGAGCUUCUUACUUCUCAUCUUGGCUUCAAUUCAUUUCUUCUGUAUCCUCUUUACUUUUCAUACAUGGUCCACGAGCUUGUUGUUUUUUAUAAUUUCUCCUCUUGAUAUUCUCUUUAAAUUCUUUUAACUACUGUGUUUUUAGUUCCCUUUCUCAUCUCCAACAGCUUAAGUCACUGUCCUCUUUCCUAGAGCAAUGUAUUAUUGUCCUAACUGAUCUUACAUCUAUUCUCUUGUAAGUCUGUUCUCCACACACAAUCAUGUAAAGGAAAUCAUUAAAUUAUACCAUUCAGUUGCUCAAAAUUCUGCGAUGAGCUCACAUCACAGCCUAGAGUCAAAUUCCCUCUUUAAUGACUAAGAAGGUGUUGUGUGAUCUGGCCUCCAUUCCCCUUUCUCGGGUGUCUCCUGCCCCUGCUCCCCAGGCUCCUCUCACUGCAGCCACACUGGUCUUCUGCGGGGACUUGUAAACCAAGCUCAUUCUUGCUUUUUCACUUGCUGCUCCUUUGUCUUCCAUCUGGUCUUUUCUUCGUUCACUUUCUGACUUGGUUUAGGUCUCUGAUCAAACUUUCCCUGAGAAGAGAGGUUUCGUUGACUGUAUCUCUAAAAUACCUGCCAGCUAGUUCCACUGUAUGCCUUGCCCUAGCAUUUGUCAUUCACUACCUAGAUUUAUCUUAGUUUUGAACAUGGAUUUAUUCUCUUUUGUGUCUUUUCCCUGCGACUUAAAUAUAGGCUCUAUGGUAGCAGGGACCCUUUCUGUCUUGUUUAUCACUGCAUCCCAGAGCCUAUAGGACAUGCUGUAGUACACACUCAGGAGAUAUUUGUUGAGUGCAUAAAGAUAUACUUUCACAAAUGCCUCAAUAAUAUUCAAGGUAAUCUUAGCACAUUGCUUUUCUGGUCUCUGAAUUAUUUCUUCACUACAUUUUUUAAAAUUUAUGUUUAUUUGUUUGUGACAGAGAGACAGAGUACAAGUGGGGGAGGGGCAGAGAGAGAGGGAGACACAGAAUCCGAAACAGGCUCCAGGCUCUGAGCUGUCAGCACAGAGCCCAACAUGGGGCUCAAACCCACGAACCCUGAGAUCAUGACCUGAGCUGAAGUCAGAAGCCCAACCUACUGAACCACCCAGGGUUAUGUAAAGAAGGACUGAAAAGGCAACUGGAUCUACUCAACAGAAAAUUUAAAAUCACAAAACAAGCAGGUGCACAGAUGAAGGGACCCAGCUGUGUGCCUAUGUGUGGAAUACUCCUGGGUAGCAGGAACAUGUCAGGAGUAGCAAAUGGCAUGGUAUGACCUGAAUCAACAGAGAAGGUAUCAAAGAACAGGUGAAGGAGUAAGGAAAUGGAAGAGGUAAAAGGGGGAGAAGAGAGAGGAUGCAGUAGGUUCUCAGCUCACUUCCUGCUUACAUGCCUGGAAAAUUUCAGCUUCCCAAGGCACAGCUUCCCAAACAGGGUGGAUUUCAGGUGUGUCAAAAUAUUGAUCCUUUCAGCUCACAGGUGGCAGGACAGGGUCAAAAGGGGCCUCAGCUGCCUUUUCCAUGUAGCCCAAGUCACUUUCAAAUAUAAUCCUUUUCUAUCUGGACUGAGAUGGAAAUUUUUGAAGAAAGUAAAAAAUACUGUCUUAGAACCUAAUGGUCCCUGCUACUUGGAUAGAAACACAGUGUGGCUGUUUGGCCUCA